rnacentral:lncRNA from 1 species
GGGUGAAUGGCAAGGACACUCCUUCUCCCCGCAGUAAACUUCAUUACCUAUCAGGGCUAGCUGAUUUCCCAGAGUGUCAUUCAAAUCCAUCUCCCAGUGGUUCCAUCAUUUCUCACCCAAAACAUUGCAGCACCCCGUCCCCUCUGCCCACUCUCCACACUGCAGCCAGUCAUCUUCCUGAAGGCCAGGGCCAAGCCCAUCACACCCUGCCUCACAGCUUCUCAGGCAGCUCCCAUUGCUCUCAGCUGGAAGUUCAAGCUCUCUGACCUGGUCUUCAAGGAUGAGUUCUGGUGAGGGCUGCCCGCUGCAGACACGUCCUCUCACCCUGUGCUCAGCCACCACACAGACACUCCUUCUUCCCCUCCUGCCCAGGUUAACUCCUCCAUCUUCAGUUCUUAGCUUAGAGGGCACCUUCUCCAGAGGGCAUCCCCCCAUGCAACUUGGGGUUGGCUCCUGUCCCCACUGGAUUGCUGGCUGUGGUCCAAGGUUGGGCACACAUCUUCCACCACUGUAUUGUCCUUGCUUGGGGGGUGCUGAGCUAUUUGGCAGUCACUCAUGAUUCAUCCUUUCUCACUUGCCUUUGCUGAGCACAGAUGGAGGGAGGUUCUCCCACAUCUCAAGGGAACGAAGAGGGCAAAACAGGGUUCCCCAGAUGUUAGAGUCUGUAAACAAGUCAAAAUAACACCUGGCAUUUUGCCAGGGGAAUGUUAGAGUUCAUAAACAAGUCUGGAUGGCGCCUGGCAAAAUGCCAGAGGGAGUGGUUUGUGAAGUAACUCCAGCGAGCCAUUAAGUGUAGAGAUUUCUUAUUGGUUGACUGAUGUAUCUAGUUUAUGCUAAUUAAGAUAAGC